rnacentral:rRNA from 1 species
CCUACGGGAGGCAGCAGUGGGGAAUAUUGCGCAAUGGGCGAAAGCCUGACGCAGCGACGCCGCGUGAGGGAUGAAGGUCUUCGGAUCGUAAACCUCUGUCAGCAGGGAAGAACGGUCACUGUGCUAAUCAGCAGUGAAUUGACGGUACCUGCAAAGGAAGCACCGGCUAACUCCGUGCCAGCAGCCGCGGUAAUACGGAGGGUGCGAGCGUUAAUCGGAAUUACUGGGCGGAAAGCGCUCGUAGUCGGUAUGUCAAGUCAAGGGUGAAAUCCCCGCGCUCAACGUGGGAACUGCCUUUGAAACUGGCAAACUUGAGUGUGUGAGAGGAUAGUGGAAUGCCAGGUGUAGGAGUGAAAUCCGGAGAUAUCUGGAGGAACAUCAGUGGCGAAGGCGACUAUCUGGCACAUAACUGACGCUGAGGAGCGAAAGCGUGGGUAGCAAACAGGAUUAGAUACCCUAGUAGUC